GAUUGACAGGAAGUAUCGUCUUUUGAAAUCUUUAAGUACAUGUCGUUUCUAAUGACAUCUUUUAGAUGAAUGAUUCGUGUAAAUAUGCUAGUUCUUUCAUGAUUAUGUGAUAGGUGGUGCAUGGCCGUUCUUAGUUCGUGGAGUGAUCUGUCUGCUUAAUUGCGUUUCACUAUGGCCCCAAAGUUAGCAAGUUAUCCAAUCAUGACCUUCGUCGACCCCUCACCUUUGAGUGCGCGUCCUAGCUUAGAGUACAUGGUGUAAAUGGACUUGUUUUGGGUACCCAGAAAGCAACGAACGUGACCGCAACGUCUUGUUGUCUCUCUUUUGACAGUUAUGGGUUAUCCCAGUCAUGUGCUUAUACUUUUAUGUGUAAAUACGUACGACACAGAGACUAGAUACCAAACUAGGCGUACCGCUGUAUCAUUUCUUUAAACCAGAGGAAGGUUGCGGCAAUAACAGGUCUGUGAUGCA
rnacentral:rRNA from 1 species